rnacentral:rRNA from 1 species
GACGAACGCUGGCGGCGUGCUUAACACAUGCAAGUCGAACGGAAAGGCCCUGCUUUUGCGGGGUGCUCGAGUGGCGAACGGGUGAGUAACACGUAAGUAACCUGCCCUUGACUUUGGGAUAACUUCAGGAAACUGGGGCUAAUACCGGAUAGGAGCUCCUGCUGCAUGGUGGGGGUUGGAAAGUUUCGGCGGUUGGGGAUGGACUCGCGGCUUAUCAGCUUGUUGGUGGGGUAGUGGCUUACCAAGGCUUUGACGGGUAGCCGGCCUGAGAGGGUGACCGGCCACAUUGGGACUGAGAUACGGCCCAGACUCCUACGGGAGGCAGCAGUGGGGAAUAUUGCACAAUGGGCGGAAGCCUGAUGCAGCAACGCCGCGUGCGGGAUGACGGCCUUCGGGUUGUAAACCGCUUUCGCCUGUGACGAAGCGUGAGUGACGGUAAUGGGUAAAGAAGCACCGGCUAACUACGUG